UACGAAGGGGGCUAGCGUUGCUCGGAAUCACUGGGCGUAAAGCGCACGUAGGCGGAUUGCUAAGUCAGGGGUGAAAUCCUGGAGCUCAACUCCAGAACUGCCUUUGAUACUGGUGAUCUUGAGUCCGGGGGAGGUGAGUGGAACUGCGAGUGUAGAGGUGAAAUUCGUAGAUAUUCGCAAGAACACCAGUGGCGAAGGCGGCUCACUGGCCCGGUACUGACGCUGAGGUGCGAAAGCGUGGGGAGCAAACAGG
rnacentral:rRNA from 1 species